rnacentral:rRNA from 1 species
GAGUAACACGUAGGCAACCUGCCCUCAAGUUUGGGACAACUACCGGAAACGGUAGCUAAUACCGAAUAAUUGUUUUCUUCGCCUGAAGAGAACUGGAAAGACGGAGCAAUCUGUCACUUGGGGAUGGGCCUGCGGCGCAUUAGCUAGUUGGUGAGGUAACGGCUCACCAAGGCGACGAUGCGUAGCCGACCUGAGAGGGUGAUCGGCCACACUGGGACUGAGACACGGCCCAGACUCCUACGGGAGGCAGCAGUAGGGAAUCUUCCGCAAUGGGCGAAAGCCUGACGGAGCAAUGCCGCGUGAGUGAUGAAGGUUUUCGGAUCGUAAAGCUCUGUUGCCAGGGAAGAACGCUUGGGAGAGUAACUGCUCUCAAGGUGACGGUACCUGAGAAGAAAGCCCCGGCUAACUACGUGCCAGCAGCCGCGGUAAUACGUAGGGGGCAAGCGUUGUCCGGAAUUAUUGGGCGUAAAGCGCGCGCAGGCGGUCAUUUAAGUCUGGUGUUUAAUCCCGGGGCUCAACCCCGGAUCGCACUGGAAACUGGGUGACUUGAGUGCAGAAGAGGAGAGUGGAAUUCCACGUGUAGCGGUGAAAUGCGUAGAUAUGUGGAGGAACACCAGUGGCGAAAGGCGACUCUCUGGGCUGUAACUGACGCUGAGGCGC